UCAUGGAACUGGUCUUCAAAGAGUUGGGCAUCGUUCCGGUGGGUGCGAUUCCGGCACC
rnacentral:tRNA from 1 species